CCUACGGGGGGCAGCAGUGAGGAAUAUUGGUCAAUGGACGAGAGUCUGAACCAGCCAAGUAGCGUGAAGGAUGACUGCCCUAUGGGUUGUAAACUUCUUUUAUAUGGGAAUAAAAUGUUCCACGUGUGGGAUUUUGUAUGUACCAUAUGAAUAAGGAUCGGCUAACUCCGUGCCAGCAGCCGCGGUAAUACGGAGGAUCCGAGCGUUAUCCGGAUUUAUUGGGUUUAAAGGGAGCGUAGAUGGAUUGUUAAGUCAGUUGUGAAAGUUUGCGGCUCAACCGUAAAAUUGCAGUUGAAACUGGCAGUCUUGAGUACAGUAGAGGUGGGCGGAAUUCGUGGUGUAGCGGUGAAAUGCUUAGAUAUCACGAAGAACUCCGAUUGCGAAGGCAGUUCACUGGACUGCAACUGACACUGAGGCUCGAAAGUGUGGGUAUCAAACAGGAUUAGAUACCCGAGUAGUC
rnacentral:rRNA from 1 species